rnacentral:tRNA from 1 species
GAGCUCAGUCGGUAGAGCAUGAGCCUUUUAAUCUCAGGGUUGUGGGUUCGAAUCCCACAUUGGGCA